GUGGCCUAACACAUGCAAGUCGAACGGCAGCACAGUAAGAGCUUGCUCUUAUGGGUGGCGAGUGGCGGACGGGUGAGGAAUACAUCGGAAUCUACUUUUUCGUGGGGGAUAACGUAGGGAAACUUACGCUAAUACCGCAUACGACCUACGGGUGAAAGCAGGGGANCUUCGGACCUUGCGCGAUUGAAUGAGCCGAUGUCGGAUUAGCUAGUUGGCGGGGUAAAGGCCCACCAAGGCGACGAUCCGUAGCUGGUCUGAGAGGAUGAUCAGCCACACUGGAACUGAGACACGGUCCAGACUCCUACGGGAGGCAGCAGUGGGGAAUAUUGGACAAUGGGCGCAAGCCUGAUCCAGCCAUACCGCGUGGGUGAAGAAGGCCUUCGGGUUGUAAAGCCCUUUUGUUGGGAAAGAAAUCCAGCCGGCUAAUACCUGGUUGGGAUGACGGUACCCAAAGAAUAAGCACCGGCUAACUUCGUGCCAGCAGCCGCGGUAAUACGAAGGGUGCAAGCGUUACUCGGAAUUACUGGGCGUAAAGCGUGCGUAGGUGGUUGUUUAAGUCUGUUGUGAAAGCCCUGGGCUCAACCUGGGAACUGCAGUGGAAACUGGACGACUAGAGUGUGGUAGAGGGUAGCGGAAUUCCUGGUGUAGCAGUGAAAUGCGUAGAGAUCAGGAGGAACAUCCAUGGCGAAGGCAGCUACCUGGACCAACACUGACACUGAGGCACGAAAGCGU
rnacentral:rRNA from 1 species